AGUGAACGCUGGCGGUAGGCCUAACACAUGCAAGUCGAACGGCAGCACAGUAAGAGCUUGCUCUUACGGGUGGCGAGUGGCGGACGGGUGAGGAAUACAUCGGAAUCUACUUUUUCGUGGGGGAUAACGUAGGGAAACUUACGCUAAUACCGCAUACGACCUACGAGUGAAAGCAGGGGAUCUUCGGACCUUGCGCGAUUGAAUGAGCCGAUGUCGGAUUAGCUAGUUGGCGGGGUAAAGGCCCACCAAGGCGACGAUCCGUAGCUGGUCUGAGAGGAUGAUCAGCCACACUGGAACUGAGACACGGUCCAGACCCCUACGGGAGGCAGCAGUGGGGAAUAUUGGACAAAGGGCGCAAGCCUGAUCCAGCCAUACCGCGUGGGUGAAGAAGGCCUUCGGGUUGUAAAGCCCUUUUGUUGGGAAAGAAAAGCAGCAGGUUAAUACCCCGCUGUUCUGACGGUACCCAAAGAAUAAGCACCGGCUAACUUCGUG
rnacentral:rRNA from 1 species